UGGGGAAUAUUGGACAAUGGGCGCAAGCCUGAUCCAGCCAUGCCGCGUGUGUGAAGAAGGCCUUAUGGUUGUAAAGCACUUUAAGCGAGGAGGCGUUACUCGCAGAAUAAGCACCGGCUAACUCUGUGCCAGCAGCCGCGGUAAUACAGAGGGUGCAAGCGUUAAUCGGAUUUACUGGGCGUAAAGCGCGCGUAGGCGGCUAAUUAAGUCAAAUGUGAAAUCCCCGAGCUUAACUUGGGAAUUGCAUUCGAUACUGUUUAGCUAGAGUGUGGGAGAGGAUGGUAGAAUUCCAGGUGUAGCGGUGAAAUGCGUAGAGAUCUGGAGGAAUACCGAUGGCGAAGGCAGCCAUCUGGCCUAACACUGACGCUGAGGUGCGAAAGCAU
rnacentral:rRNA from 1 species